UUCGAUAACUUGGCAACUCGACACAAGACCCCUGGUCCCUCUUAGUAUAAAAAUCUCUUGCGAAAACCGUAGAGUACAGAUUCGCAGCCAAGAAAUAAUGCUGUUUAAAAUAACGAUUAUUUCUCUCCUCGCGGUGUUGUUUCUCGUCAAUCAACCAGUCACUCAGUCUUUACUUGAUCCUCGAUAGUACACGCGAGAGCCGUUGUUGUGCCAAAACGGAACAGGAUUUCUACGCCGGAUUCCACGAGCACUGGGCUAAUGUUACUUUUCACUGAAGGACCUGAUUAUCACUGCAGUAUAUAUGGAGCGAGUUUCACAUCCUGAUGAGAAUUAGAUGUAUGCGUGGCAGAGUGGCAAAGAGGUAAAUAAAGCAAAAUUUGACUAAUUU